rnacentral:lncRNA from 1 species
CGACACCCUGAGCCCCAACUCCCGCCGUCUUUGCGCCUCAAAGGUGGCAACAAUCUCCAAGCCAGAGCCUGAGCCCCUGGCCCUGGUGGGGGUGACAAGGGAAGCCGAGGCCGUCCCCGGAAGGUGUGCGCCCCUCACCUUGUGGACGGUGCGUGCAGCCGAGUCGCACAGGGCGAGCUGGGGCGUCCCGCUGGCUCCAGAAGUCUCACUCGGAACCGGCUCCUUUUUCUCCCGAGCUUUCUCAAAGCAGCGCUUCUCGCAUCACCCGGGUCUGAGUUUGGCAACUCUAAACCAAAUGAAAUUCUCUUCAAUUCAAAAAGCAAGCCUGUGUGCCCUUCUUGCCUUCUGGAGUGCCCCUUAAGACCAGCAGGGCUGAGUGAGGGGUGUGAGGGGAAGUUCACUGAAGAAGAGAAAGGAAGGUUGGUAAGCUACAGUCUUGAAUUGUGAUUUGCUGCUGUUAAUUCCACUAAACUAAGGGAAUAGGUUUAAGUAGACAUCUUGACAUGCAUUUGAUGAUAAAAGUGUUAUGUAAAAAUAAACAACAAGAGUCAUUCUUAAUUUUUAAAAAGAAUCUUACAGGACUGAAGUUUUUUUAGACACCUAAAAGAGGCAGUAAGGACUUUGUCCUACUCUGGCAAUUUUGGAGCUCUUCUGAAAGAGAAAGGAAAUUUGAGUUCAUUCUGUUCUUUUAAUUGCUUUUUUUUUUUUUUUUUUAAGAAAUUGGCUUACCUAUUUGGUUAUUACAAUGUAAGCGACUAUGAAAACAUUAUACAGUUGAAAGUAUCCAGAAUACCCCUGUUUUGGCAGAUUUCAACUUCAUGAGGUUCAUGGUUAUUCUGA